GAUAAACGCUGGCGGCGUGCAUGAGACAUGCAAGUCGAACGGGUGACUCGGGCUUGCUCGAGUCGCUAGUGGCGGACGGCUGAGUAACGCGUGGGUGACCUGUCCCGAAGUGGGGAAUAACUGCCCGAAAGGGUGGCUAAUACCGCAUGUGGUCGCACGUUCGGUCGUGCGAGUAAAGCCGCAAGGCGCUUCGGGAGGGGCCCGCGUCCGAUUAGCUCGUUGGUGGGGUAACGGCUCACCAAGGCGACGAUCGGUAGGUGGUCUGAGAGGACGAUCACCCAGACUGGGACUGAGACACGGCCCAGACUCCUACGGGAGGCAGCAGUCGGGAAUUUUGCUCAAUGGGCGAAAGCCUGUAGCAGCAACGCCGCGUGAGGGAUGAAGGCCUUCGGGUUGUAAACCUCUUUUCUCAGGGACGAUGAUGACGGUACCUGAGGAAUAAGCCACGGCUAACUACGUGCCAGCCGCCGCGGUAACAC
rnacentral:rRNA from 1 species